rnacentral:tRNA from 1 species
ACCUGGCUGGCUCAGUCGGUAGAGCAUGCGACUCUUGAUCUCAGGGUUGUAAGUUCAAGCCCCACGUUGGGUG